AUAACGUUCCAUGAUACAUUUGACGCCCAUUUCAGUACCAUUUCGGAUUAGAGACACCAGUGCAGUGAAAAUCGUUGUUCUAUCGAGACGCAUCAAUUCUGGCUUCCAUCGAAAAUGCCGUUCCUCAAGUUGCAGUCAAAUGAUGGUGAAAUUUUUAAAGUCGACAUCCAAGCUGCCAAGUGUUCUAACCUUCUCAAAGUGAUGCUUGAGGGUCCUAAUAUAGAAAAGGACUACGACGAAGUGGUGCCCGUGCCGAACGUGAACGCUACCACUUUGCGUAAAGUGCUCGAAUGGGCCAACUACCAUAAAUACGAUCCACCAAUGGAGGACGACAACCGCCCCGUACACAUUUGCGAUUGGGAUCGAGAGUUUCUUAGAGUUGACAAGGAAAUCCUCAUGGAGCUGAUUCUAGCCGCCAACUAUUUGGUCAUCAAAGGACUAUUGGAUGUAACGUGCGUAGCGGUUGUCGACAUGAUCAAGGAAACAAAACCAGGAAGAACCAGGCUGAUGAGAAAUGUGUUCAACAUUGACGAUGGAUUCGCUGCAAAAGAAGAGGCCAGAACCAGUCAUCGUUGCAGGGAAUUUGAGAAAGAGGAGUAAUGCUUUUCAAUAGUUGAGAGGUUUUUGCUACAGAGAUUAAAACAAUGGUUGAUGACAUAAUCACCACACCAGGAAGAACUAGGCAUUAUCUGCCUACCUGUCAACGUUGAAAGCAUUUUAGAUAUUGACAUUGGUUUCACUGCAAAAGAAACGUUUAUUUAAAAUAAUCACUAAAACACAAUGGGAGAAAUAAAGUAAUGUAUUUCAAAACUUGAAGGGAUUUGGCUACAGACACUGCGAAAAAGAGUGACAUAAGAGUAAUAUUCUUUACGGUUUUGCGAAAUGAACAGAAUAAAACAAUUGUAAAUCAACAA